rnacentral:rRNA from 1 species
GCUCGGAAUCACUGGGCGUAAAGCGCACGUAGGCGGAUUUCUAAGUCAGGGGUGAAAUCCUGGAGCUCAACUCCAGAACUGCCUUUGAUACUGGGAAUCUCGAGUCCGGGAGAGGUGAGUGGAACUGCGAGUGUAGAGGUGAAAUUCGUAGAUAUUCGCAAGAACACCAGUGGCGAAGGCGGCUCACUGGCCCGGUACUGACGCUGAGGUGCGAAAGCGUGGGGAGCAAACAGG